ACAACAAGAAUAAAAACACGUAGCAAACCAACAAGAACAACACGAAACGGCUCUGACAUAACAAGAACAACACGGACAGAGGCGCAGCUAACAGAUUUUUUUGGAGUGGAUAGGCUUUACAGGGACCUCUUGAACGAGAGGCCUCGCAACCGGACAGAGAACAAUAAAACUACCUUCAGGUAGCUUCCCGUACCGGCUGGACCAUGACGUUGUGCAGACCCAUGGUUAAAGUGAAUCAGCGCUCAAAAAAAUACGUUUGCUCUUGAUCCCGGAUGGGGAUCACACAAGAACGCAGUAAAGGGACUGGUCGCCAAAAACAAGAACAGACCGCCCUAUAAAAAUAAAAAGAGCAGGCAAGACACAUUGAAGGAGAGCCCAGGCUCUCCUUUCGUGUUUUUGGCUUCUGGGCUUUCUAAGCUGCA
rnacentral:sRNA from 1 species